AGUCGAGGGGUAGAAAGCAAUAUUUGAGACCGGCGCACGGGUGCGUAACGCGUAUGCAAUCUACCUUUUACAGAGGGAUAGCCCAGAGAAAUUUGGAUUAAUACCUCAUAGUAUAGUGAGUUGGCAUCAACACACUAUUAAAGUCACAACGGUAAAAGAUGAGCAUGCGUCCCAUUAGCUAGUUGGUAAGGUAACGGCUUACCAAGGCAACGAUGGGUAGGGGUCCUGAGAGGGAGAUCCCCCACACUGGUACUGAGACACGGACCAGACUCCUACGGGAGGCAGCAGUGAGGAAUAUUGGUCAAUGGGCGCAAGCCUGAACCAGCCAUGCCGCGUGCAGGAUGACGGUCCUAUGGAUUGUAAACUGCUUUUGCACAGGAAGAAACACUCGGUCGUGACCGAGCUUGACGGUACUGUGAGAAUAAGGAUCGGCUAACUCCGUGCCAGCAGCCGCGGUAAUACGGAGGAUCCAAGCGUUAUCCGGAAUCAUUGGGUUUAAAGGGUCCGUAGGCGGCCAGAUAAGUCAGUGGUGAAAGCCCAUCGCUCAACGAUGGAACGGCCAUUGAUACUGUUUGGCUUGAAUUAUUUGGAAGUAACUAGAAUAUGUAGUGUAGCGGUGAAAUGCUUAGAGAUUACAUGGAAUACCAAUUGCGAAGGCAGGUUACUACAAAUUGAUUGACGCUGAUGG
rnacentral:rRNA from 1 species